GUUCAUCCCUCGUACACUCUGUGAUGACAGUGACCCUCUGGAUGUCUUAGUCAUCAUGCAGGAACCUAUUCUUCCGGGUUGCUUUCUCAGGGCUAAAGCAAUUGGUCUUAUGCCCAUGAUUGAUCAGGGAGAAAAGGACGACAAGAUAAUUGCUGUCUGUGCUGAUGAUCCUGAAUACAAGCACUAUACUGAUAUCAAUGAGCUGCCACCCCAUCGUUUGGCUGAGAUACGUCGCUUCUUUGAGGAUUACAAGAAAAAUGAGAACAAGGAAGUUGCUGUUAAUGACUUUCUUCCCUCCGACAAAGCCUUUGAAGCAGUCCAGCAUUCCCAGGAUCUGUAUGCAGACUACAUUGUGGAGAGCCUGAGGAGAUGAUAGUCUUUCCAUCUUCCUCAAGUCGUGAAUGACCGUCAACAUUACAUUUCUCAUACUAAUAUACCAUAUUUUGUCUAAUACUGCAAAGCACACAGUUAUAUACCAUGUUGCAUGGGCAUAUAACAUGCUAUAUAUAUAUAUAGUAUGCUUGUAUCAUCUACUGUAUGGGAAAUUACUCUUCCAUACAUUACUUGAUGAUGACGAAAAGGAAACUUCACGUUUCCCCUGGUCAAUUUUUGUAUGAUUUGAACUUAUCUCUUAAUUGUCCGAUUGGUGAAAUGGAUUACAAACGAAGUUAAGUUUGUAUACUCUCUGUUCUGUUCCUUGAGUUUAAUGGCUUCUA
rnacentral:misc_RNA from 1 species